rnacentral:rRNA from 1 species
GACGAAGGGGGCAAGCGUUGUUCGGAAUUACUGGGCAUAAAGCGCGCGUAGGCGGCUGUGUAAGUCAGGUGUGAAAGCCCUCGGCUCAACCGAGGAACUGCGCCUGAUACUGCACGGCUUGAGGUCCGGAGGGGAGAGUGGAAUUCCCGGUGGAGCGGUGAAAUGCGUAGAGAUCGGGAAGAACGCCGGCGGCGAAAGCGACUCUCUGGUCGGAAUCUGACGCUGAGGCGCGAAAGCUAGGGGAGCAAACGGG